CAAGUCGAACGAUUAAGACUUCCUUCGGGAAGUGCAUAAAGUGGCGCACGGGUGAGUAACACGUAAGUAAUCUACCUUUGAGUGGGGAAUAACCCGGGGAAACCCGAGCUAAUACCGCAUAAUGCAGCGGCAUCGCGAGAUGACAGUUGUUAAAGGAGCAAUCCGCUUAAAGAGGAGCUUGCGGCAGAUUAGCUAGUUGGUAAGGUAAUGGCUUACCAAGGCUACGAUCUGUAUCCGGUCUAAGAGGACGGUCGGACACACUGACACUGAAUAACGGGUCAGACUCCUACGGGAGGCAGCAGUCGGGAAUUUUGGGCAAUGGGCGAAAGCCUGACCCAGCAACGCCGCGUGAAGGAUGAAGUAUUUCGGUAUGUAAACUUCGAAAGAAUAGGAAGAAUAAAUGACGGUACUAUUUAUAAGCUCCGGCUAACUACGUGCCAGCAGCCGCGGUAAUACGUAGGGAGCAAGCGUUGUUCGGAUUUACUGGGCGUAAAGGGCGCGUAGGCGGCGUGUCAAGUCGAUUGUGAAAUCUCCGGGCUUAACUCGGAACGGCCAAUCGAUACUGACGUGCUAGAGUGCAGAAAGGGCAAUCGGAAUUCUUGGUGUAGCGGUGAAAUGCGUAGAUAUCAAGAGGAACACCUGAGGCGAAGGCGGGUUGCUAGGCUGACACUGACGCUGAUGCGCGAAAGCCAGGGGAGCAAACGGGAUUAGAUACCCCGGUAGUCCUGGCCCUAAACGAUGAAUACUUGGUGUCUGGAGUUUCAAUACUCCGGGUGCCGUCGCUAACGUUUUUAGUAUUCCGCCUGGGGAGUACGCUCGCAAGAGUGAAACUCAAAGGAAUUGACGGGGACCCGCACAAGCGGUGGAGCAUGUGGUUUAAUUCGACGCAACGCGAAGAACCUUACCUGGACUAGAAUGUGAGGGAAGGGCUUCUAAUAGAGUCCGUCCGGGAAACCGGACCCAAACAAGGUGCUGCAUGGCUGUC
rnacentral:rRNA from 1 species